UGCCAGCAGCCGCGGUAACACGAACUGCGCGAACGUUAUUCGGAAUCACUGGGCUUAAAGAGUCCGUAGGCGGCCUGGAGGGUGGGGUGUGAAAUCCCACAGCUCAACUGUGGAACUGCGCUUCAAACCGCCAGGCUAGAGGGAGUCAGGGGUGAGCGGAACUGAUGGUGGAGCGGUGAAAUGCGUUGAUAUCAUCAGGAACACCGGUGGCGAAGGCGGCUCACUGGACGAUUACUGACGCUCAGGCACGAAAGCGUGGGGAGCGAAAGGGAUUAGAUA
rnacentral:rRNA from 1 species